rnacentral:rRNA from 1 species
GUCCAUGCCGUAACGAUGUCUACUAGCCGUUGGGCCUUUGAGGCUUUAGUGGCGCAGCUAACGCGAUAAGUAGACCGCCUGGGAGUACGGUCGCAAGACUAACUCAAUGAAUUGACGGGACCCGCACAAGCGGUGGAUGAUGUGGUUAAUUCGAUGCAACGCGAAACCUUAACCCACCUUUGACAUGUACGGAAGAUCGCAGAGACGCGAUUGUGCUCGAAAGAGAGCCGUAACACAGGUGCUGCAUGGCUGUCGU